CGCCCGUCGCUCCUACCGAUUGGGUGUGCUGGUGAAGUGUUCGGAUUGGCGACCGGGGGCGGUUUCCGCCCUCGGCCGCCGAGAAGUUCAUUAAACCCUCCAACCUAGAGGAAGGAGAAGUCGUAACAAGGUUUCC
rnacentral:rRNA from 1 species